CCGUAUCAGAAGACACUUUUCCUGUACGGGCGGAACCAACAACAGCGAAGUUCAAAAAACCCGACUAGUAGCUAAAAGUCAGCAUUCAUAGAGUUAAACGUCCCCGUCCGUGACUUGUACAUAACAAUCCAAGCAUCUCCUAAGCGUCUUUCUCCCCCUUCGUAAGGCCAUCGCGUCCACCAACGCACGUCUUACAUCCGCCCAGUACAGUGCCGUUGAAGCUGCGACGAGUAAUAUGAACGCUUAAGUAAUUCAUGAACAUCCGCUGCGUUUGCCUAGCAGUGUCGUAAAGGAGGUCGCGUCGGCAUCAGGCCAUCAACGUUGCGCCCAGGACAACACUUGCUGCAGCCAAGAAACCCUAAGUAUAUCUCUAUGCGUUCAUCCCCUUAGUCUUAGGGUUGCCCCUAAGACGACGUAGAUACCACCUCCUGACACCGCCGUACCGGAAAGCACUUUUCCGGUACGGGCAGAGCCAGCAGCAUUCCAGGUUCAGAAUUGAACCCAAAGGCAGAAAUCACCAUUCUGAGAGUUGAACGUCGCCAUCCAUGAUUUAGACAUACCAUUCCAUGGCCUGUGCAUGCGCGUCCGUGUCCUUCACUACGUUGCCAUCACGUCCACCAACGCACACUUGACAUCCGUCCUGUCCAGAGCCGUCGUCGCGAGCUUCGACAACAUGAAUGUAAGCAACAUUCGGAACAUCCGUCCUGUUUGCAUGGGAUUGUCGUCCUCCCGCCGGCGGAAAAGCCACUCAACGUAUUGCUUUAGAAUUCCUACCCAAGCCUAUAACACAAACAUAAUAACAUUGUCCUAGCAUUCCAUAGCCCUACUUGACUUGCCUACAAACGAGUUGCCCCGGUCGGACCCUCCAAGUCUAGCCCAGUAGCUUACUGUGGGCUGACGUUAGUGAACAUGGAAUGCAAGCUGUGUGUGUGCUCAUCCCCUUUGAAAAAGGUUUGACUACGACUUGACACACAGACUCCCUCCUGCAACAAAUGCCCAUUUUCCGUACGAGCGUGACGAGCAACAUAAGAGAUCCAGAACCGACCACACCGGCAGAAUUCAUCGUUCNNNNNNNNNNNNNNNNNNNNNNNNNNNNNNNNNNNNNNNNNNNNNNNNNNCAUGGACACCAGCUGCAUUAGCCUGGCUUGUCGUCCUUGCGGCAGCCUGGGCAAAUGGCCCAACGCGAUUUAAGUAUGCUGCUGCUUGCGGCCAAGAAACAAGCAUUUCCAAAACUGUCAUUUAAUCCCCUGGUUUCGUUGUAUUUGGUUUGCAUACAAGUCGACGCGGAUACUACCUGCUGUGACCGCCGUAUCAGAAGACACUUUUCCUGUACGGGCGGAACCAACAACAGCGAAGUUCAAAAAACCCGACUAGUAGCUAAAAGUCAGCAUUCAUAGAGUUAAACGUCCCCGUCCGUGACUUGUACAUAACAAUCCAAGCAUCUCCUAAGCGUCUUUCUCCCCCUUCGUAAGGCCAUCGCGUCCACCAACGCACGUCUUACAUCCGCCCAGUACAGUGCCGUUGAAGCUGCGACGAGUAAUAUGAACGCUUAAGUAAUUCAUGAACAUCCGCUGCGUUUGCCUAGCAGUGUCGUAAAGGAGGUCGCGUCGGCAUCAGGCCAUCAACGUUGCGCCCAGGACAACACUUGCUGCAGCCAAGAAACCCUAAGUAUAUCUCUAUGCGUUCAUCCCCUUAGUCUUAGGGUUGCCCCUAAGACGACGUAGAUACCACCUCCUGACACCGCCGUACCGGAAAGCACUUUUCCGGUACGGGCAGAGCCAGCAGCAUUCCAGGUUCAGAAUUGAACCCAAAGGCAGAAAUCACCAUUCUGAGAGUUGAACGUCGCCAUCCAUGAUUUAGACAUACCAUUCCAUGGCCUGUGCAUGCGCGUCCGUGUCCUUCACUACGUUGCCAUCACGUCCACCAACGCACACUUGACAUCCGUCCUGUCCAGAGCCGUCGUCGCGAGCUUCGACAACAUGAAUGUAAGCAACAUUCGGAACAUCCGUCCUGUUUGCAUGGGAUUGUCGUCCUCCCGCCGGCGGAAAAGCCACUCAACGUAUUGCUUUAGAAUUCCUACCCAAGCCUAUAACACAAACAUAAUAACAUUGUCCUAGCAUUCCAUAGCCCUACUUGACUUGCCUACAAACGAGUUGCCCCGGUCGGACCCUCCAAGUCUAGCCCAGUAGCUUACUGUGGGCUGACGUUAGUGAACAUGGAAUGCAAGCUGUGUGUGUGCUCAUCCCCUUUGAAAAAGGUUUGACUACGACUUGACACACAGACUCCCUCCUGCAACAAAUGCCCAUUUUCCGUACGAGCGUGACGAGCAACAUAAGAGAUCCAGAACCGACCACACCGGCAGAAUUCAUCGUUCAGUUCCUUAAACCUUCAUUUACGGUUUCCCUACAAACAGCUCCAUGCCUUGGAUAUGCGUCUGUUUUCUUCCUUACGAACAUCACAUUUUACGUUCGUCAGGGCCAGAGUCUUUGUGGCAAUCUUUCAUAUUCAGCACGCAAUGAACCCUUCAUGGACACCAGCUGC
rnacentral:lncRNA from 1 species